rnacentral:rRNA from 1 species
CCCUUAGAUGUUCUGGGCCGCACGCGCGCUACACUGAAGGGAUCAGCGUGUUUUCCCUUCCCGAGAGGGACGGGUAACCCGCUGAACCCCCUUCGUGGUAGGGAUCGGAGCUUGCAAUUGUUCUCCGUGAACCAGGAAUUCCCAGUAAGCGCAAGUCAUAAGCUUGCGUUGAUUACGUCCCUGCCCUUUGUACACACCGCCCGUCGCACCUACCGAUUGAAUGGUCCGGUGAAAUCUUCGGAUUGAGACUUUGUUUUCUUCACGGAAAACGCUGUUUUAAAAAGUUGAUUAAACCUUACCAUUUAGAGGAAGGUGAAGUCGUAACA